rnacentral:pre_miRNA from 1 species
UGAGUACUCCCUCCGUCCGGAAAUACUCGUCGGAGGAAUGGAUGUAUCUAGAUGUAUUUUAGUUCUAGAUACAUUCAUUUUUAUGCAUUUCUUCGACAAGUAUUUUCGGACGGAGGGAGUACUAC